GGGUAGCUCAGUUGGUAGAGCAGCGGAUUGAAAAUCCGCGUGUCGGUGGUUCGAUUCCGCCCCC
rnacentral:tRNA from 1 species